UUUCCGUAGGUGAACCUGCGGAAGGAUCAUUACUGAGUGAGGGCCCCUCGGGGUCCAACCUCCCACCCGUGUUUAACGAACCUUGUUGCCUCGGUGGGUCCGUCUUACGACCGCCGGGGGAUCGCCGCGAGGCGCCCCCUGGCCAGCGCCCACCGAUAGCCCAACCUUUAAAACCCUUUGUGAAUCGUGUCUUAUGUCUAAAUUUAUGAUUAAACAAUCAAAACAAAACUUUCAACAACGGAUCUCUUGGUUCUG
rnacentral:misc_RNA from 1 species